rnacentral:rRNA from 1 species
GACGAACCGUGCGAACGUUAUUCGGAAUCACUGGGCUUAAAGGGUGCGUAGGCGGCGCGACAAGUUGGGUGUGAAAUCCCUCGGCUCAACCGAGGAACUGCGCCCAAAACUGUCGUGCUCGAGGGAGACAGAGGUGAGCGGAACUUAGGGUGGAGCGGUGAAAUGCGUUGAUAUCCUAAGGAACACCGGUGGCGAAAGCGGCUCACUGGGUCUCUUCUGACGCUGAGGCACGAAAGCUAGGGUAGCGAACGGG